AACGAACGCUGGCGGCAUGCCUAACACAUGCAAGUCGAACGAGACCUUCGGGUCUAGUGGCGCACGGGUGCGUAACGCGUGGGAACCUGCCCUUAGGUUCGGAAUAACUCCCCGAAAGGGGUGCUAAUACCGGAUAAUGUCUUCGGACCAAAGAUUUAUCGCCUUUGGAUGGGCCCGCGUUGGAUUAGCUAGUUGGUAGGGUAAAAGCCUACCAAGGCGACGAUCCCUAGCUGGUCUGAGAGGAUGGUCAGCCACCCUGGGACUGAGACACGGCCCGAACCCUACGGGAGGGGAGAAGGGGUGAAGGUGGAACACCGGGGGAAUGCUGAAGGCAGCAGGGCCGGGAAAGUCUGGAAGGCGUGAGGAUUAAAAGUCUUAUUAACCCGGGAUGUAAUGAAGGGACCCGGGAAAAAAACCCCGGCUAACUCCGGG
rnacentral:rRNA from 1 species